UACAGGGGGGGCAAGCGUUGUUCGGAAUUACUGGGCGUAAAGGGCUCGUAGGUGGCCAACUAAGUCAGACGUGAAAUCCCUCAGCUUAACUGGGGAACUGCGUCUGAUACUGGAUGGCUUGAGUUUGGGAGAGGGAUGCGGAAUUCCAGGUGUAGCGGUGAAAUGCGUAGAUAUCUGGAGGAACACCGGUGGCGAAGGCGGCUCACUGGCCCGGUACUGACGCUGAUGUGCGAAAGCGUGGGGAGCAAACAGG
rnacentral:rRNA from 1 species